rnacentral:rRNA from 1 species
GAAUACACCCAAUCUGAUCUGAUUUGCAAAACUAAGCAGGGUUGGGCCUGGUUAGUAUUUGGAUGGGAGACUACCUGGGCAUACCAGCUGCUGUAAGCU